rnacentral:rRNA from 1 species
GACGAACGCUGGCGGCGUGCCUAAUACAUGCAAGUCGAGCGGACAGAAGGGAGCUUGCUCCCGGAAGUUAGCGGCGGACGGGUGAGUAACACGUGGGCAACCUACCCUGUAGAUCGGGAUAACAUCGAGAAAUCGGUGCUAAUACCGGAUAAUCAUUUGAAGUGCAUGCUUCGAAUGUAAAAGAUGGCUCCGGCUAUCACUACGGGAUGGGCCCGCGGCGCAUUAGCUAGUUGGUAAGGUAAUGGCUUACCAAGGCAACGAUGCGUAGCCGACCUGAGAGGGUGAUCGGCCGCACUGGGACUGAGACACGGCCCAGACUCCUACGGGAGGCAGCAGUAGGGAAUCUUCCGCAAUGGACGAAAGUCUGACGGAGCAACGCCGCGUGAGUGAUGAAGGUUUUCGGAUCGUAAAGCUCUGUUGUUAGGGAAGAACAAGUGCCGUUUGAAUAAGGCGGCACCUUGACGGUACCUAACCAGAAAGCCACGGCUAACUACGUGCCAGCAGCCGCCGCCGUAA